rnacentral:rRNA from 1 species
AUUGAACGCUGGCGGCAGGCCUAACACAUGCAAGUCGAGCGGCUGAAGGGAGCUUGCUCCUGGAUUCAGCGGCGGACGGGUGAGUAAUGCCUAGGAAUCUGCCUGGUAGUGGGGGAGAACGUCCGGAAACGGGCGCUAAUACGGCAUAAGUCCUGAGGGAGAAAGUGGGGGAGCUUCGGACCUCACGCCAUCAGAUGAGCCUAGGUCGGAUUAGCUAGUUGGUGGGGUAAAGGCCUACCAAGGCGACGAUCCGUAACUGGUCUGAGAGGAUGAUCAGUCACACUGGAACUGAGACACGGUCCAGACUCCUACGGGAGGCAGCAGUGGGGAAUAUUGGACAAUGGGCGAAAGCCUGAUCCAGCCAUGCCGCGUGUGUGAAGAAGGUCUUCGGAUUGUAAAGCACUUUAAGUUGGGAGGAAGGGCAGUAAGUUAAUACCUUGCUGUUUUGACGUUACCAACAGAAUAAGCACCGGCUAACUUCGUG